rnacentral:snoRNA from 1 species
AACCUAUGGUAAGGGAAUCUUCACAAUAACUCCUUAUACCUCUCUCAUGCAUCAUAUAGGGUCUCUAAGUCCAUCUGCACGAAAGAAGAGAUAUCAUUCCUCAACUU